UACCCUUUUUGAGAUAUUGCCAUUUAUUUUUCAACAAUGCAAUUAGAAACAUGAAUAAAACAAAUUACAUGUUGAUCUCAUAAUUGCUGCAAUGUUUACUUGGUUUUACCAUAUUUACUUGUUCACCAAAUUGUAUGUUUAUUUUCAGGAUGGAGCAAGCAGAGUACUCCAAGGCACCAGAGAGGUACUCCACAGCACCAUGCAGAGGACUGCUACAUAGAAGAUUUGGAGAAGAUCAAGCGGCUGACUGAAGAGAAGGUCGAGCUGAGUUGGCUGUACAAUGAGGAGCCAUAAGGAAGAAUCCUUCCAACCGGGAUGCCACUAAUGAGGCUGUCCAGAACCAGGUCACCAGGUACCUGAAAGGGGCAGCUGACCGUGCAGGUGGGAGAAGACGUUGUGGCGGUACAAGAGACCUGCCCUGAAUAUGAGUGACAGCUCCAGCACAACCAAUAUUGCCGCUAAUCUACAGUAUUGCUGCUAUGUACAGUGUUAUGUAUUUGAUCCCAUUAUCCCCUUAAUAUAUUUAAAGCUGUGUGUGAAUGUUCUUAAUUCUGACUGUAGUUGUAAUGUGCUAUUCCACCAUUCAUAAGCUUAUUGCACUGAUGUAUCUAUAAUAUUCAAUAACUAUCGAUUGCUGCUAGGUCACACUUAUGUAUAUUACUGCCAUUCAAGCCAUUCUUUCUUUUGUAUUGUUUUAUGUUUAUUUUGUACUAUUUCACAU
ensembl:lncRNA